rnacentral:rRNA from 1 species
CCUACGGGAGGCAGCAGUUGGGAAUCUUGCACAAUGGGGGAAACCCUGAUGCGGCGACGCCGCGUGGAGGAUGAAGGGUCUAGGCUCGUAAACUCCUUUUACCAGGAAAGACUUAGGACGGUACCUGGUGAAUAAGCCCCGGCUAACUACGUGCCAGCAGCCGCGGUAAU